rnacentral:rRNA from 1 species
CAGUCGCCGCGGGAAUACGUAGGUGGCAAGCGUUGUCCGGAAUUAUUGGGCGUAAAGGGCUCGCAGGCGGUUUCUUAAGUCUGAUGUGAAAGCCCCCGGCUCAACCGGGGAGGGUCAUUGGAAACUGGGAAACUUGAGUGCAGAAAAGGAGAGUGGAAUUCCACGUGUAGCGGUGAAAUGCGUAGAGAUGUGGAGGAACACCAGUGGCGAAGGCGACUCUCUGGUCUGUAACUGACGCUGAGGAGCGAAAGCGUGGGGAGCGAACAGGAUUAGAUACCCGCGUAGUCCCUGUCUCUUAUAC